GGGGUCCUCGCGCCCGUAGCGCGCGGACAGCCGCCCCACCCAUGCCAAGAAGAGGCGGAGCCUCUUUCCAGCUCCUCUGGGAUGAGCUAUUUUUAGAGAUGUGGCGGUUGGGGGAAAGAGGGAACGCCGCGUUUAACCCCCUCCAUCUGCCAAGCUCUGCAUCUUGGAGCACCAAAGCAAAAGUGUACGGGACCAAGUGUUGGCAAGGAUGUACAGAGAAAUUGGAACCCCUGUGUGUUGCUGCUGGGAAUGUAAAAUGGUACAGCCACUGUGGAAACAAAAUGACAGUUCCUCAAGAAAUUAAGCAAAAACAAAAAAAUUAUCAUAAUCCAGCAAUUCCACCUCUGGGUACCCAGAAGAAUUGAAAGAGGAACUCAAACAGCUCUGGAGUCUGAGAAGUUCAAGAUCAAGGCCAGAAGAUUCCAUUCCUGAUGAAUGAAAUCUGUUUCCCAGUGAACUUUUAAGAAGGAGACCCUCCACCCUAUAAGAGAGUUAAUCAGGUAUGUGCAGAAGCCUCAUCACAGGGAUCACAGCCUGAUGUCCUUCCCAAGUCUUUCUGAGGCCCCCUGUUACCUGGGCCACUCUACCUGGAACUUUCCCAAGCCCCCAGAUUCACCCUCUGGCAUUCCCUCCAGUAUGAGAAGCAGAACUACCUCCCCUUCAUUCCACGCCCCUUCCUUCCCCUACCAGUGUCUCACUAACUUUCUGUCUGCUCAGGCAGGCACCGUGCUAGAAGCUUUUAACCUGAACUCCACAGAGCCCUAGUGGCUCCGAGGAUAGGCUUCAAGGAACCCUGAACCCUGAGGCCAUACGCUGCAUCAGUACUUCAAUCCUGGAUGGCUUUUAGACAUAGCUUCCCCCACAUAACACCUUCCCUAAGGAAUGUCCUUGCUCUUUGAGUCUCCAUGACACCAACUCUCUUCAAAAUUCCUCCAAAUUUCUUCACUAUACAAUCUCAAGACUUCUCCAACCAGUCCAGAAACCCCUACGAAUCCCAGUAUAGCUACCUGAGCAAAGAUGUACAAGGAACUAUUUGUCUUUGAGCAACACAUGGGUCUGAAUCCACUGGUGCAGUCAUAUGGGCAUUCAGGUGUUAUCUACUUUCCUAGGAUUCCUGCCUUUGUGAGAGAGCUCUUGCUCCCUCCAUUAUAAUGUAAGUCAACUUGGGCAUUCCAGCGGACUACAGAGUCUUGGGUGGGGGUUGCUGACUGAUGAGACCUUAGGAAAUGUGGAUUAGUGUAGCCCCAAAUAAAUGAAUAGGAUAGGACAAAACCUCUGAAUCUAUUUUACAAUGCUGUUCCUUGGAGCUAGUGUAAAGAAAAGGCAAACAAAGGAGGGAAACCACAGAACCGGAGGAGAGAUUUCCCCAGCUCUUCAGCCCUCUGGAUAACCUUUGAUAACCUCAGUUGGUAAUAGUUCAGUGUUUGGGGCCAAACUCUCUCCUCCAUAAAGGACCCACUGUAUUAACAAGGGAAAGUUGAAGGAAUUUUUAACAAUAAAUAUUUGUUGAAUUGAAUUGCACAUGAAAAGCGUGACUGUUAAUUCUGUAGCUUCUUGGAACUCAGAUUUAUUGUAAGCAUGGAAUGUUCACACCAGCAAUACUUGUCCUAUUUAUUUUGGAGCAUUCGGAACCACAGUUCCGGUUUUUAACAUAUUUGUUAAGCCAGUGGGACUGAUAAACUUGUUAAAGCAUUAAGCUAUUAGCAGGGAAAAAACAAUACACAAAAUGAUACCUUAUCAACAUUGCCUAU